UACGUAGGGACCAAGCGUUGUUCGGAUUUACUGGGCGUAAAGGGCGCGUAGGCGGCGUGAUAAGUCACUUGUGAAAUCUCUGAGCUUAACUCAGAACGGCCAAGUGAUACUGUUGUGCUUGAGUGUGGAAGGGGCAAUCGGAAUUCUUGGUGUAGCGGUGAAAUGCGUAGAUAUCAAGAGGAACACCUGAGGUGAAGACGGGUUGCUGGGCCAACACUGACGCUGAGGCGCGAAAGCCAGGGGAGCAAACGGG
rnacentral:rRNA from 1 species